CCUUGCCAGCCCGCUCAGAACUCAAAGGAAUUGACGGGGCCCGCACAAGCGUGGAUCAUGUGUUAAUUCGAUGAUACGCGAAGAACCUUACCAGGUCUUGACAUCCCUUGCAAAGCUAUAGAGAUAUAGUGGAGGUUAUCAAGGAGACAGGUGGUGCAUGGUUGUCGUCAGCUCGUGUCGUGAGAUGUUGGGUUAAGUCCCGCAACGAGCGCAACCCUUAUUGCUAGUUACCAUCAUUAAGUUGGGCACUCUAAAGAGACUGCCGGUGUCAAACCGGAGGAAGGUGGGGAUGACGUCAAGUCCUCAUGGCCUUUAUGACCAGGGCUACACACGUACUACAAUGGUCUGUACAAUGGGUUGCCAAGCCGCGAGGCGGAGCCAAUCCUAAAAAGCAGGCCUCAGUUCAGAUUGCAGUCUGCAACCCGACUGCAUGAAGCCGGAGUUGCUAGUAACCGCAGGUCAGCAAUACUGCGGUGAAUACGUUCCCGGGUCUU
rnacentral:rRNA from 1 species